rnacentral:rRNA from 1 species
GACGAACGCUGGCGGCGUGCUUAACACAUGCAAGUCGAACGGAAAGGCCUUUUCGGAGGUACUCGAGUGGCGAACGGGUGAGUAACACGUGGGUGAGCUGCCCUGCACUCUGGGAGAAGCCUGGGAAACUGGGUCGAAUACCGGAUAGGACCGCACUUUAGUGUGUGUGGUGGAAAGUGUUUUCUGUGUAGGAUGAGACCGCGGCCUAUGAGCUUGUUGGUGGGGUAAUGGCCUAGCAAGGCGGCGACGGGUAGCCGGACUGAGAGGUUGGGCGGCCACAAUGGGACUGAGGUACGGGCCAGACUCCUACGGGGGGCAGCCGUGGGGAAUAUUGCACAAUGGGCGCGAGCCUGAUGCAGCGACGCCGCGUGGGGGAUGACGGCCUUCGGGUUGUAAACUCCUUUCGCCAGGGACGAAGCGUUUUGUGACGGUAACUGGAGAAGAAGCACCGGCUAACUACGUG